UGUGGGAGCGAGCUUGCUCGCGAUAGCGGUGGGUCAGCUUGUAUCGAUAUUGGCUGAUCCGCCGCCAUCGCGAGCAAGCUCGCUCCCACA
rnacentral:misc_RNA from 1 species